rnacentral:rRNA from 1 species
GACAGAGGGUGCAAACGUUGUUCGGAAUUACUGGGCGUAAAGCGCGUGUAGGCGGCCCUGCAAGUCGGAUGUGAAAUCCCACGGCUCAACCGUGGAAGUGCAUUCGAAACUGCAGGGCUAGAGUCCUGGAGAGGAAGGUGGAAUGCUUGGUGUAGAGGUGAAAUUCGUAGAUAUCGGGAGGAAUACCAGUGGCGAAGGCGGCGACCUGGGCCAAUACUGACGCUGAGGCACGAAAGCGUGGGGAGCAAACAGG